AUUCUAAAAUGAGAGUUUGAUCCUGGCUCAGGACGAACGCUGGCGGCGUGCCUAAUACAUGCAAG
rnacentral:rRNA from 1 species